CCUUCUCGUAGCUUUGACCCCUUGAAACCCUGACCCCUCCGACGAGUCACUCAUGCAAGGCACUCUGUCAAGGCUAUAGCACAUCUCUUCAAUCUCACAGAGUCUAGGGAAAGUAAUAUUGUGGUAGCGACGAAGAGUCAAAGUCUGGUUCUUUCAGGUUGUCCUUCUUGAAGGGCGUGCUUUAUGGUGCAAGAGUCCCUUUCCUCUGAGAUCCAUGUAUCUGCUACCAGAUGAAGUGAGACCAUCAAAGUUCUCUGUGCUUGCGUAAGUUACAAAUCUUGUUUUAUUAAGAUUUUAUUUUGUGAUUUAUCUCUAAAUGAGUGAAUAAAUUAUUUGGUUAAUAUCCAAUUAGGUGCCCCUAACUGUGUUGGUAGAAAAAAGAACUUGAAUUUCCCAAGUGUGUCAUCUGAUUCUGCUUAUGGUAUUUGUGAGAUUGUAUGCUUGAUUGAUUUUUCACUCUUGAGCUCUUGGAUUUCAUUGUACUAUGUCUGCUUUGUUAUUACAUAUUACCCUUGUGCUAUUUCAAGAGAAGUUUUGAAGUAAAUGGGUAUAACUGUAGAUUUAAUUAUUGGCACUACCUAGAAGUGAAAUGUUCGUAGUAUAUUAAAUUGAAGUUUCAAAAAAUUUGGGGGAAAAUCUGCUCCAUAUUUGUUGAAGCAGUAUUAUAAUUUUUAGUCUAACAAGUGUUUGAAAUUAGUUCUCAAUGAAUUCCUUUGAGUGCCGUAUACAAAUAAUGCUGCAAUUGAAUAAAGGUAGAGUGCAUAUCAGCAUGAUAAUUUGUAUUUUAAGCUUAUUGUAUUGAUCAUUCUAUCUAAUCAUUCAUGAGACCAAAACUCAAAAACGAGAUUUCAGUAAAUGGGAGAUUCCACCCACUUAUAGUUCGCAAAAAAUAGCACCAAUAAAUUACUUUCUUUUUUCACUACUAUGCAUUAAUCUGUACAAAUAUAUUGUAUUUAUGGCAUGCCAAAUCUUAUAUUACCAGUAUGGUUAAUGAAGAGGAUACGGUAGAAGAAGAAAUUGAUGAAAAAGAUAUUGAAAUGACUAAUGAAUACUACGAAGAUAGAUCUUCAGAUGCAGACAUAGGUGGUGGUUAAGGCUAGUAUUCCCCGAGAGGCAAUUUAUUUCCGAAAAUAAUAAAGAGAGGAAAAGCUCUUGAGGUAUCAUGACUUUUUUUUACUCUCUUUCUUGAGUUGUUAUAUUGGUGUUGAUUGGACUACAUGAAUGUAUGGAAAUAACCAUCUGAAAUGCAAGGUUAUUUCCAUAAAUUAAGUGAAAUACUUGCAAAAUGGUAGAUCUCAUGUCAAAAUGGAGUUUUUACUUUAAGAUAUCUCUAUGGCAUAUAAUAUAUCAAUAAUAAAAAUUGGGAAUUCUUUUAGAUUCACUGUAUAAUCAUUGUCACUAGGAACUUAGGAAGGUAGUUUUACUUCUACUUAUAAUGUUUAUCUACGGGUUGCAUUUAUAUUAAAGUUCAUACAAUUUGAAUUCCUAUAUCAACCUAUAAAGCAAGAAAAAAGAAGUCAAAUACAAUAUGAUUAGUCAUGGACAUAUUGACACGGUAAACUUUGAGAAAUGAUACAACAGAGGAAUGUCACAUAUCGUAGCAUAGAAAAUCAUAAAUAUAUCAUACAAAGAAAUGUUGAAACAGAAAUGUGGAACAUAUCAUAUAAAGAAAUGUGAUGAUAGCGAAAUAGUCGAGGCACGCACAAAGCCUAGAUACCACUACUAGGAAAAAAGAAAAAAAAUAUUGAGACAGAAAAGAUAGGAUAAUCUCAUGCAUAAAAAUUAAUAGGAAGUAUCUUUUUUUGGGUAGUAAUAAAUUUUUUGAUCUAUUCAAAUAAAACAAUUAUCUUCUCCAUCCACCAAAGCAAUCACGUUCAGUUCCUGCAACAAUGCUUCCAAUGCAUCAAUCUCCCAAUGCCUCUUAAACAUUAGCUAUCAAAUACUUUCAUUGUUAAGCUUUCAACUGACUUGCCUGUAAAUCUUCGUGACAUUAAUUAAGGCAAAGGUUUUAUGAAAUUGGAUCUACUUUACUAAAGAGCUUUUUUCGAGACAUGUUUCAAGUGACAAUAAGUUGUUUGUUUGAUUGUGCCAAUAACUGUGUCAUUGGACUUGUUUUUCUUUUUCCAGAUACAUUUUUAAUGUGUGAAUGAAAGUUGUGCGGUUUAGAUAAUUAUAUAGAAGUCCUUUAUAUAUGGUAAUCACUUAUCCUCUUGUAAAUUGAAGCGAUAUCGUUUCUAUUCUUGUUGUUCCUAUGGUACCAAAGUAAUAAAUAAUGGUCCUUGAAGUGCCUGCAAAACUGAUUAUUGUCCCAACUGAAGGUUGAGUUCCCAUGGUAGAACUAUAAUGAGCCUUUUGAUACUGUAUCAUUGCUUAUGUUUAAUUUUACAGUGAUAACAUGGCCAACUCAAUUUACAUGCAGCUUUUAAUUUGAAGGGGGCUAAUUAGUUUUAAACUUUUUUUUCUUUUGUAGGAAUGUCCAAGCUUCAGCCCAAAACUUGCAUAUAAUCCUUAUAAUGAGCCCAACAUUGAAGUUUUCAGGUUCUAAAAGUAUAUUUGUCUAUUUUGAUGAAACUAUUAUUUUUUGUCAGGUUAAUAUUUUUUUUAAAUGUUGUCUUAUUCCAGCACUUAGUUCAUCUCUGGGACUGCUUUGAAUUUGCAGUUGCGAAGUUUUAUUGACUUCCUUGAUCUGAAUUGCAUUGUUAACCAUUACAACACCAUUUUGAUUGCAAUCAAUAAUCUUUCUUUAACUGGCCAUAUGUAGGGGCUUUAGUUCAUCUCUAGGUUGGAAAAUUUGAUUUAAGUUAUUUUUCGUUAUAAGAGCUGGCAUAUUUAGGGAUGGAUUUGCAAUCAGUGAUCUCUCUUCUAACUGGCCAUAUGUAGAUCCUUUACUUCAU
rnacentral:lncRNA from 1 species